GAAUCCUAGGUGUGUGGGCGCUCAGAGCGAGAGAGAGAAGGUUAGGAGUGUGCGCUCCAGAGAGAGAAGCCUAGGCGUGUGCGCUCAGGUGUGUGCGCUCAGGCGUGUGCGCCCCAGGGAGAGAAGCCUAGGAGUGUGCGCUCCAGAGAGCGCACACUCAGGUGUGUGCGCCCCAGAGAGAGAAGCCUAGGCGUGUGCGCUCAGGUGUGUGCGCCCCAGGGAGAGAAGCCUAGGAGUGUGCGCUCCAGAGAGCGCACACUCAGGUGUGUGCGCCCCAGAGAGAGAAGCCUAGGCGUGUGCGCUCCAGCGACCGCACACUCAGGUGCGUGCGCCCCAGGGAGAGAAGCCUAGGAGUGUGCGCUCCAGAGCGAGAAACCUAGGAAUGUGCGCUCCAGAGAGAGAGAAGCCUUGGAGUGUGCGCUCCAGAUAGAGAAAAGCCUAGGAGUGUGCGCUCCAGAGAGAGAGAGAAGCCAAGGAGUGUGCGCUACAGAGAGAGAGAAAAGCCUAGGAGUGUGCUCUACAGAGAGAGAGAGAGAGAAAGAGAAGCCUAGGAGUGUGCGCUACAUAGUAAUGAAAUAAAGUGCCGGGCAAUAUUCCCCUGCCUUACAACUCGCCGAAUGUUUGGGGGCUCAAGAGAGACUGGCAAUGAAUGAACAUAACAUAAAAUAUAGACAAUCAUUAUAAAGCUACACGGACAGAAGCGGAUAGAA